rnacentral:rRNA from 1 species
CAGUCGCCGCGGUAAUACAGAGGGUGCGAGCGUUAAUCGGAUUUACUGGGCGUAAAGCGUGCGUAGGCGGCUUCUUAAGUCGGAUGUGAAAUCCCUGAGCUUAACUUAGGAAUUGCAUUCGAUACUGGGAAGCUAGAGUAUGGGAGAGGAUGGUAGAAUUCCAGGUGUAGCGGUGAAAUGCGUAGAGAUCUGGAGGAAUACCGAUGGCGAAGGCAGCCAUCUGGCCUAAUACUGACGCUGAGGUACGAAAGCGUGGGGAGCAAACAGGAUUAGAGACCCGAGUAGUCCCUGUCUCUUAUAC